ACAGGAAAGCCUUGGAGGGCCUCCUGUGUCCCAGCGACCCUCUGAACACAGCCCAAACACAGCACCUGUCUCAUCUGUAAUGUUUCUUUUCAGUCUGUUGUUCUUACCAGGCUAUGAUAUCUCUGUGAGUAGGAAAGAUCUCCUUUAUGGAUUAUUGGAUUCCAGGCCAAAAAAUGCUUUUCAGUGCAUGAAUAGACCACUUCCAAGUAUUCCCAGAAAGGCAUCUCAUCCUUCAGAGGAGCAAUGGAAGGUAGAGUGC
rnacentral:lncRNA from 1 species